rnacentral:lncRNA from 1 species
CCGGGCGUGCCAUUUUGUCUGCCACCACGAAUGACGCACCUCGCACGGGAAAUUUUUAUCUUUAUUUUCCCGUGCGGUAGUAUUCAUGAUGUAGAUUAAAGUAUGUGUAUGUAUGGAUAUCAGGUAUUGCGGAUCCAUGGCUUCCAAUAAACACAAGCAUUUAUUGUUAAUUACCCCUACAAAGUGUUAGGGCACCUUCGAUUAAGAGACCUCUGAAAUGCUGAAUAUAAACUGGAAUUGGACAAAAGGAAAUUUAUAAUUUAUUGCUCAAUUACAUGGCUUUAACCAAGGGCAUACCCUCAGUGUACAUGAAUAGAGCGUAAAGAAAAUGUAUUUUUCAAUUGUAUCUUAGUUAUAUAUUCUAAGAUGCCCAAUAUAUGGUCAAAUUAAUUUUGUUG